AUGCCAACUAAAAUCACACCGUCAGAAUCAAAUUUAGUCUCUACUGCUCUUGUGCAAGGUGCGACCCGACAUGCAGUAGCACAACACACCUUCGUGCCAAAUGAGAUCGACCAGCAAAGAGUGGAGACAGUGCUGCAAUGCAAGAUUGCUAAAUUUUCCUGCCGCUACCUGGGGCUGCAGCUGGCGAUUCAUCAACUAUCCCGUGCAGACUGGCAACCCCUCCUGGAUCAGGUCCGGCACUUUAUCCCGGCCUGGCAGCGUGACUUCAUUCAAAGGUCAGGCAGACUAGUCCUUGUCAAGACGGUGAUCGUGGCCAGGCCAGUUCAUCAGCUUUUGGUGCUUGACCCCCCUGCUUGGGUUUUGGAAGACAUCAAUAAGUGGAUGCGAUCCUUCUUUUGGGCUGGUAAGGAUAAGAGUCAUGGAGAGCAGUGCCUUGUUGCUUGGGAUACGGUCUGCAGGCUGACGAGUUUCGGUGGUCUGGGAGUGAAAAAUUUGGCUGUGCAAGCUCUCGCACUUCGUGUGCGGUGGGAAUGGCUUAGGAGAACGGAUCCGAAGAGACCAUGGCAAGGGCUCCAUCUAAUGGUUGAUGAGCAAGCGCGCGCCGUCUUUGAUAGCCUGGUCAAGAUCACCAUCGGAGAGGGAUCAAAAAUACUCUUCUGGAAAGAUCGUUGGAUUCAUGGAGUGGCGAUAAAAGACAUUGCCCCGCUGCUCCUCCAACUUGUCAGUACACGUGAUAAGAACAGAAGAACGGUGCAAGAGGCACUCCUUGAUAACGCCUGGGCGAACGAUAUCCAUGGAGAGCUCUCAUUCAUGGGCCACAUGCAAGUUUACCUGUUAACUCAAGCCAUUAGCUUGGUGGAGAGGAACAUUGACGAGCCGGAUCAGUUCGACUGGCCCUACGAUGCCUCUGGCAAAUACACAACCAGUUCUACCUAUACGAGGCUCUGCAUUGGAUACACACGUGCCCCGGCUGCCGGUGGCAUUUGGCGUAGCUAG
rnacentral:rRNA from 1 species